rnacentral:rRNA from 1 species
UACAGAGGUCUCAAGCGUUGUUCGGAUUCAUUGGGCGUAAAGCGUGCGUAGACGGUUACAUAAGUCGGGUGUGAAAGCCCCGGGCUCAACCUGGGAAUUGCAUUCGAGACUGCGUAGCUAGGGUGCGGAAGAGGGAAGCGGAAUUUCCGGUGUAGCGGUGAAAUGCGCAGAUAUCGGGAGGAACACCGGUGGCGAAGGCGGUUCUCUGGGCCUUACCUGACGCUGAGGAGCGAAAGCGUGGGGAGCGAACAGG